AAGGCUAGUCUCAAGCUCCUGGCCUCAGGUGAUCCUCUCACCUUGGCCUCCCAAAGUGUUGGGAUUAUAGUCCUGAGCCACUGUACCUGGCCACAUUUCUUAACUUAAAAAAGAGCCAGGGCAGCUCUUUUUAAAAAUAUCUGUGGAAAGUGGAGCUGAAUCAACAUGACUCAGCAGAAAUGGUCAUAACCAGUGGCAGAACUUCUUAUUCUUGGCCUCUUCUCAAGGGCUGGAGUUGGGGGAUAUGGUCCACCUUACUGGGCUGUCGUAAAGCCAGAUAGGAUCAUGCAUAUAACCUCUCCCUCUACACAGUACUUGGCAGGUGACACAUUAGUGCUUCUCACAAGAAAACCCUCCACCUCUUCCACACCCAUCCAAACUCCUGCUGUCCUUCAGGACACUCCUCAGAUUCUGCCUCCUCCAGGAAGCCUUCCCUGCCUCCAUCCACACGCACUUUUCCCCUUCCCUGAACUCUGGCAGCACUCACCAUGUGCGUCACUCAUUGUCGCAGUUGAUCCCUUUGUGCCUUCUACUAUUUACAGUAAGGGAGGAUAUGGCUUUCAGUCUAGCUUGAUUAUUAGCUCUUUAAGGCCAAGAACUAUAUCUUGUACUUCUUUUUUAUACCCCAUGACAUAAACACAUAUUGACUCUUCAGCAUCCAAUAUAUUCUUGUCCCAACUGAAUGGAAUUUCCAUCAACUUGACAUUCCUCCCAGAAGAAUGAGGCAUUACUUGAACCUGGAGUUGCAAUACAGUCUUCUUCGUCUUGGUCAUUCACAAACACGUGAAAAGACCCACCGUAGAUGAGCUCUCCAGGAAACCCCAGUGUUUAUAGUUUUCCAUCUGGGAAUGCAUCCACUUAUGUGUAGCUUUGCUUAUAGUCUUUAAGCCAAUUCCAUAUCGAUGGUAAAACAACCCUUAGUGACUCAAUUUUUUAAAAAAUAGUCUUUAAAGUGGGAUUUUCUCACAGGUUUUUGAAAGUCAAAUUAAAUUGGGUUCUGUGGUUCCCUCUUAUCCAUAUGCUUAUUUAUCUGCUCAAAGAACUCAAGGAGAUUAGUGAGACGUGAUUUCUCCUUACUGACACCACGUUGCCUUCCCUCUGAUAGGCCAUGUUUACUUAAGCGUUUAGCGAUUCAGCUUUAUUAUACAUUCACUCGGUAAACAUUAAAUGCUUACUCCAUGCAAGCUGCUACCAAACGGUCCCUUGUGAUACAGAAAAUACCUCGGCAUAUUAGUUUGAUAAAUUAAGUGAAAAGGAACUUAAAUAAUGCAUGCUCUCAUUCUCCAACAGGGAGAGCCCAUCUCUGCUCACAGAUUCAGGCUUGAGUUACGUGAGUUUUGUCCCUGGACAGCCUGGUGGAGAAGGGCUCUAAUUUGGGAAGCUGGAUUUAGCUCUGAAAUUUGACAUGAGCUGUCUACAGCUCUAAGCAAGGCAGAAGUUCUUCCUGCAAGCACAAACAGACUGCAGAGGGCAGUGAAACCAGAAACACAGGCAAAACUAAUAGAAAAAAGAGUGU